CAGCCGCCGCGGUAAUACGUAGGUGGCAAGCGUUGUCCGGAAUUAUUGGGCGUAAAGCGCGCGCAGGCGGUUCCUUAAGUCUGAUGUGAAAUCUCGCGGCUCAACCGCGAGCGGCCAUUGGAAACUGGGGAACUUGAGUGCAGGAGAGGGGAGCGGAAUUCCACGUGUAGCGGUGAAAUGCGUAGAGAUGUGGAGGAACACCAGUGGCGAAGGCGGCUCUCUGGCCUGUAACUGACGCUGAGGCGCGAAAGCGUGGGGAGCGAACAGGAUUAGAUACCCUGGUAGUCCACGCCGUAAACGAUGAGUGCUAAGUGUUGGAGGGUUUCCGCUCUUCAGUGCUGCAGCUAACGCAUUAAGCACUCCGCCUGGGGAGUACGGUCGCAAGACUGAAACUUAAAGGAAUUGGCGGG
rnacentral:rRNA from 1 species